rnacentral:rRNA from 1 species
AUUGCGUGGGGGCACCCUGACCGCCUGCCGCGUGGGUGAAGAAGGCCUUCGGGUUGUAAAGCCCUUUCGGCGGGGACGAAAUCGCGGGGGUGAGAAGCCUUCGUGGAUGACGGUACUCGCAGAAGAAGCACCGGCUAACUACGUGCCAGCAGCCGCGGUAAUACGUAGGGUGCGAGCGUUAAUCGGAAUUACUGGGCGUAAAGCGUGCGCAGGCGGCCCUUUAAGUCAGGUGUGAAAGCCCUGGGCUUAACCUAGGAAUGGCGCUUGAAACUGGGGGGCUAGAGUGCGGCAGAGGGGGGUGGAAUUCCUGGUGUAGCGGUGAAAUGCGUAGAGAUCAGGAGGAACACCGAUGGCGAAGGCAGCCCCCUGGGUCGGCACUGACGCUCAGGCACGAAA